rnacentral:rRNA from 1 species
GAUGAACGCUGGCGGCGUGCCUAAUACAUGCAAGUCGAGCGAACAGACGAGGAGCUUGCUCCUCUGACGUUAGCGGCGGACGGGUGAGUAACACGUGGAUAACCUACCUAUAAGACUGGGAUAACUUCGGGAAACCGGAGCUAAUACCGGAUAAUAUAUUGAACCGCAUGGUUCAAUAGUGAAAGACGGUUUUGCUGUCACUUAUAGAUGGAUCCGCGCCGCAUUAGCUAGUUGGUAAGGUAACGGCUUACCAAGGCGACGAUGCGUAGCCGACCUGAGAGGGUGAUCGGCCACACUGGAGCUGAGACGCGGUCCAGACUCCUACGAGAGGCAGCAGUAGGGAAUCUUCCGCAAUGGGCGAAAGCUUGACGGAGCAACGCCGCGUGAGUGAUGACGGUCUUCGGAUCGUAAUACUCUGUUAUUAGGUAAGAACAAAUGUGUAAGUAACUAUGCACGUCUUGACGGUACCUAAUCAGAAAGCCACGGCUAACUACGUG